rnacentral:rRNA from 1 species
GGUGAAUACGUUCCCGGGCCUUGUACACACCGCCCGUCACACCAUGAGAGUUUGUAACACCCAAAGUCGGUGGGGUAACCUUUUAGGAACCAGCCGCCUAAGGUGGGACAGAUGAUUAGGGUGAAGUCGUAACAAGGUAGCCGUAGGAGAACCUGCGGCUGGAUCACCUCCUUUCUAAGGAA